AUGGCGGCACCUGUAAGUUUGGUCCGGAUAGGCCUCCUCUGUCUGUUGGCGAUGUCCGCGUCGGCGCAAUACCCGUCGUCCCCAAGCUCCCCGGACUCGUACCCGUCCCCGGGCUCCCCGGACUCGUACGGCUCCCCGGACUAUCCCGACUCGUACGGCUCCCCGGACUCCCCGGACUCGUACCCGUCCCCGGGCUCACCGGGCUCCUACCCGUCUCCAGGCUCCUACCCGUCCCCAGGCUCCCCGGGCUCUUACCCAUGCCUAGGCUCCCCGGGCUCCUACCCGUCCCCUGGGUCCCCGGACUCCUACCCGUCCCCAAGCUCGUACCCAUCCCCAGGCUCCCAAGGCGGUUACGAGGGGGAGGGGGAGAUCAUUCCACCUAGGAAUGUCACAUGCAAGGACACCGACGGCAAGCGGCCUGGGUGCACGAGCACCUGCCCCGACCGGUGCCCCCAGCAGUGCAUCGUCCUCUGCCCCGACUGCAGGACAUUUUGCCACGACGAGGUAAAGCCGGCGAAGCCCGUGCCGCCGCCUGCCAUGUUCGUGUUCGGAGAUGGGGCACUGGACGUCGGCAACAAUGCAUACUUGCCACAGGUCGAAACAGAGGAGGGGUACUCCCCUCAAGUCUCCCGAUCUUGCAGCGGCAGGUUCAGCAACGGGGCCAACUUGGCUGACACAAUCGCGACAUCCAUGGGCUUCCAGGAGAGCCCUCCAGCUUACAUGUCAUUGGGUGGCAGGCUCAACAUGUGGGGAGCGAACUACGCCUCCGCGGCUGCCGGUAUCAGAAUUUCUACUAACGGAGAGCGAUCCAUCUCGUUGCCGAAACAACUGGGGCACUUCAAGGCAACUAGGACCCAGAUGGAGGCCAAGCUGGGCAGCGAUGCCAAAGUACGCGACCUACUGUCCAAGUCUGUCUUCCUCCUUGGCAUCGGCAGCCAGGACGUCGACCCAAUGGUGAAUGUCCAGGACUCAGAUGUGUGGGCACAUACCGAGAUCCAGGAACUCAUCGCCCAGUAUGGGGAAGCCCUCACGUCCCUUUACGACAUGGGUGCCAGGAAGAUCGCCAUCGUCAACGUCGGCCUUAGUGGGCAGACCUAUUACAAUAUCUGCAACAAGUGCGUUGACAAAAACGCCAUUGCGUUUGACACUGCCCUCAAACCCCUCAUGGCCAGCCUCGCGUCCAAGAAGUCGGGCCUCUCCUACUCCAUCGGCGACUUCUACGGCUUCACCACAGCCGUCUUCGCCAACCCAGCAAAUUAUGGGCUAAUGAAUACCCGGGACUCCUGCAGCCAGAGGGGCUACCCGGACUGGACGUACUGCUACAACCCAGAUGGUUACUGGUUCUGGGACCCGGAGUUCAUGACAGAUAGGGCUGCCAAGCUGACAGCCGCUGCGUUUUACUACGGUCCACCCCAGUUUACAUUUCCAAUUACGUUUAAGGCUCUGCUGGAGAAAAAAUAA
rnacentral:rRNA from 1 species